UUACCUUCUCUAAAAUACUUGCUGAUUCCCUUUGAUGUUUUCCGUGUUCCAUUCUCUUUCUUUCCCCAACAUCCAGUACAGCUCUCUUAUGUGGUGAUGGCUAUACAGCUGAUGCUUAACCCAACCUAGCAGAAGCUGUCUCCAAGCACGUAAGACUGGCAGGAAGCUAGAAGUGUGAUCAUCUCCCUACAUAGAUGAUCUGUAGGAUUCUCUAAAAGGAAGUCAAAAAGGGAGACUUGGAAAUGUUAUCCCAGAGAACUGCUGUCCAGAGGAGCAUCCCACAGGACCAUAGCAUUUCAUGUUCUGGAUCUGUGGAGACGUGCAAGAUUUAGUGAUGAUAAAGGCAGGAGGAAAUCAAGGAAGGAAAACACAGUGUUCUGGCAGGUCAGCAACUGGCAACAUUCUUCCUAGAAAAGAAAAGUUGAUGCCAAAUGAAGCCUCAAGUUGGUCUUACUCUUGUCUGUGUACGGCAGGGGAAGGUUUCUGAUGAAAUUUCAUACAACUAGAAGUAAAAGAAGUUUUAAUUCAGCCUUCAACAGAAAUGAAGGACAUCGUGACCCAAACACACCGAUUUUGUUGUAUGGAUGCAGAUGAGCUUAUACAGUUAGGCAGCAGAUUAACAUGGCUGCAAAGUGCGGACUCCUGGCCCAUAAACUCUGCACGGAAUAUCAGCAUACAGACUUCCCAGAGUCAUCUCCAAGUUGUCAUGGGCAACCUCUUCUCUGCUACCAGAGAGGAAUAAACCAAGACCACCAGCAAAGUCAUUAUGUAAUAUGCUGUGGAUAUGAGCAUUGUCCUCAGGAAUUACCUAUAAAGGAAACUGGAAACUCCAUGGAAUCUCUCUGUCAUCUUUACCUCCAGAUGGUGCCUCCAAAUCUCUUCUGAAAGGGCUUGUGCAGAGCAGAGUUGUUACAUUAAAUCACCACAGAGUGCAUAUCAUUCAGCCUUGUGAUGGCAAUGCUCAGGCAACAGAGGGACAAACAGAACACAAAACCAUGACGGACUUGCAAGCAAGGCUGAAGAUAGAUGCCCAGAGAUGGCAACAAGAAAUUUCACAGCGCCAAACAAUGAACCUACUGUCAGUUAAUACCAGGGAGAGAAAUACUAUCACUGAAACCAUGAAGGAAGUCCUGGAAUCUAGACCAUGUCCUGAUUACUGCCUGCCCGCUCUUUGAGAUGUUUGUGGCUGAUUGCACUGGGAGAGAGGAUAUUGCUUUAGAUGGAGUACUGAGCUGUUCCUAUAUGCCCUUGACCAUUGAGGUGCUGUGGUUUAAUUGUGUGAAACUGAGUUUCAAGAUUCAAGAUACUUCUCAGAUUGUUCUGCAAUAAAUUCUUCAGAUUCAGCAGCUUCAGCACAAGGGAGCCCGUGGACGUUGAAUUAACCAGAUCUCUGCAGCUAUCACAUGAAAAACAGUUUCUUUCUUCUGGAUCCUUCAGACUUCCCAGCCUUGUUUACAGAAGUCAGUAUGAACAGUAACGGGCAUUCACAAAUGUGCUUUAGAGGAACCUUUGGGGAAGGUGUCUCAGAGUGCUUUGUCAUUUGCUGACAAACUGGUGCCAGGACCAGAACUUAAUGAAGUCUUCAGAGAAAAUUUUGUGGCAGAUCAAGGAAUCUCAAAGAUUUUCUGGCAUUCCAAAAAAAUAGGCCAGGGCAGUAGCUUGGAGUUAUUUGCAGUUUAUCUCCCUGUGAUAUCUUCAGUCUUUAAAGCCUAUUGAGCACCUCUGCUAUGCUGCCAAUGCAAAUUACCUUGGACCAUCAGGCAGGAGAGGGCCGAGUUGGUAUGCUGCUGGUUCUCUGUUGCCUUCCACACUCUGGAGCUGGAUUCAUGUCAGCAAGUAGGUGCCAUUCUUUUUCCAGGAGGACAGUAACAAAAUUUGCUCCCUUACAUAUUAAAGAAUCCCAGGAGACACUGUGCUUUCCUGAAGGAGAUUGUUUCAGUGCUGAGCUGAUGUUUCUGUUACCACAGAGGACUUCCAAUUCUUAGGUACUUAUGAAACAAAGUUCAGAGGAGCACUGGAGAUGACGCAAUAUGAAACACAUCCACAGAGGAAGAAGCACCAGUUACGAUUGUUUAGUCCCAGCAGAAUACAUACCUUUCUCUCGCACGCCAGCAGACUGAGGUAGCAAUGCUGACUCCCAGGGCUGCAGGCAGGUGAUGGAGUCCUGAGGUGCCCCGAACCGAACAGGAUAACAGAUCCCACAACAAAGGCAGCUGCACUCACAGGAACGCAGGCAUGGCGAGGACUGCUGGGUCCAGCCAGCACAGGCAGGCAGCGCCCCACUGCCGAGGCUGGGAGGGCUCCCAGCUCAUCUGUCUGGGCUACUCGGUUCCGCAGGACUUGAGAAGUUGGAAACUCAGGCUAAUAUCUGUGUCUGCAGCUCCUUCCACUGGGGACUAUGCCUCCUCUAGCACGUGUGCCCAGCAUCUUACCUCACAGUGGGUAACCCCAAGAAGGUUCUUCCAUGGCUGCUGCAGAAGAGCGGGGUUGCAUGCCAGAGUAGUCCAUUUACUCCUGUGAGCAGCUGCGCCAUUCAGCUCUGGAAUGACAGUAUAACCAAAAAUAAGAAGGCUGAGGCUUACGUGAGGAGUGAAGGAUGAUGUAAGACACUAACUGAGAUACCUGGAUGCCAAUACCACUUAGUGGUCAGACACUCAGCAGAGCUAAGACAGAAUGGGAAAAAAACAUUAAAGAAAACUCAGUGAAGACAAGAUUCCCAGAAUGUCAGAAGAAAAAAAAUAUUCAAAGGCCAGAUUUCCAGGAAUGGACUGAGACACGUGAACUCUCCGGGCAUUGUGAAUCUCCCUGGGUCCUGGGAACUCUGUGACUAGGAUUAUGUGAGGAAGAGUAAAGCUUUCUGGUGAUCUCAGCUGAGCACAUCAGAGUAAGUUACUUUUCAAAAGAAGAGAUGACCUUGGUAACCUCCUACUGAAACUCUUGUGUUUCAUCUUUAACAUGAAACAGUCAAGCAGUGACAUAACCCAAGCCACACCCAGGCAUACACGUGAGCUGAAGGCGAGAAUGGGCCUGUCCAGCACGUAGAGCUGCAAGGAGAAAAGCUUUUAAUGUCCCAUGACUGGGAGCUCACCCAGAGACCUUCCUCUGCACACAGCAGCAACGGACCAGGCAAUUUCAAUGGGAUUAUAUGUAUACAUUUACUUAACUCCCUGUAAAACCCAAGCCUUAGGAACAUAUAUGUACAGCUGUUCCAUAGGAGGCACACCUAUAUUAGUGCAUGUAAUUAUUAAAAUAAACUUGAAAUCUAGGGGAGCCCAGAUCUUUAACCUGGAAAGUUUGAAGUUGUUUGGAUCUUGACAUUUCCAUUUGUUUAAUGACAGAAACAAACUAAUUCCAAAGUCUGUGUUUGAAGGUGGAUGCACUUUUUCCUAGUUUUGAGAAGUGUCAGGACACAGGAAUCGGACUGCCCUACCUCAACUGCAUUAGAUUAACUGAGUGAAUAUGAAGAAUCUUCUGUUAUAAAGGAAUGGGUUCUCAAGAGCCAGGACAAUUCCACAUAAAAUUAUGGUUUGCAUCUACAUAAAUGGCAUGUAAAUAAAUUAAUGCAAAUAUCCAACAAAUUGUAAAGGUUUAAAAUGUAUUUUAUCCAGUUGUUUGUUGAACAGUAUUUACCUUUAGCCUUUCAUAGGUUGUUAAAAAAUCUGAAUGUGUAAUAACUUCCUCUGAAUGUUUCAAUUUAAGCUAAUGUACUGUUCCUUUAU